ensembl:snRNA U6 U6 spliceosomal RNA
AUGCUUCAGCAGUACAUAUACUAAAAUUGGAAUAAUACAGAGAAUAUUAGCAUGGCCCCUGAGCAAGGAUGACACGUAAAUUCAUGAAGAAGCGUUCAGAAUG